AUGCUCACUUCAGCAGCACAUGUACUAAAAUUGGAACAACACAGAGAUUAGCAUAGCCCCUGUGUAAGGAUGAUGUGCAAAUUCGUGAAGUGUUCCAUGUUUAA